UACGUAGGUCCCGAGCGUUGUCCGGAUUUAUUGGGCGUAAAGCGAGCGCAGGUGGUUUAUUAAGUCUGGUGUAAAAGGCAGUGGCUCAACCAUUGUAUGCAUUGGGAACUGGUAGACUUGAGUGCAGGAGAGGAGAGUGGAAUUCCAUGUGUAGCGGUGAAAUGCGUAGAUAUAUGGAGGAACACCGGUGGCGAAAGCGGCUCUCUGGCCUGUAACUGACACUGAGGCUCGAAAGCGUGGGGAGCAAACAGG
rnacentral:rRNA from 1 species